AUUGAACGCUGGCGGCAGGCCUAACACAUGCAAGUCGAACGAGUGGCGGACGGGUGAGUAAUUUCUGGGAAACUGCCUGAUGGCGGGGGAUAACUACUGGAAACGGUAGCUAAUACCGCAUACCAUCAGAUGUGCCCAGAUGGGAUUAGCUGGUUGGUGGGGUAACGGCUAACCACGGGGAAGAUCCCUAGCUGGUCUGAGAGGAUGACCAGCCACACUGGAACUGAGACACGGGCCAGACGCCUACGGGAGGCAGCAGUGGGGAAUAGUGCACAAUGGGCGCAAGCCUGAUGCAGCCAUGCCGGGGGUAUGAAGAAGGCCUUCGGGUUGUAAAGUACUUUCAGCGGGGAGGCGUUACCCGCAGAAGAAGCACCGGCUAACUCCGUGCCAGCAGCCGCGGUAAUAC
rnacentral:rRNA from 1 species